rnacentral:rRNA from 1 species
AGAGCGAACGCUGGCGGCAGGCCUAAUACAUGCAAGUCGAGCGGCCACUUCGGUGGCAGCGGCGGACGGGUGAGUAACGCGUGGGAAUGUGCCCUUUGGUACGGAACAACUGAGGGAAACUUCAGCUAAUACCGUAUGUGCCCUUCGGGGGAAAGAUUUAUUGCCAUUGGAGCAGCCCGCGUUGGAUUAGCUAGUUGGUGAGGUAAUGGCUCACCAAGGCGACGAUCCGUAACUGGUCUGAGAGGAUGAUCAGUCACACUGGAACUGAGACACGGUCCAGACUCCUACGGGAGGCAGCAGUGGGGAAUAUUGGACGAUGGGCGAAAGCCUGAUCCAGCCAUGCCGCGUGUGUGAAGAAGGUCUUCGGAUUGUAAAGC